rnacentral:rRNA from 1 species
AGUUCAGAGGGCGUGAACCGUUUAGGCGCAAACGGGUGGAGCUGAUGGUUACCAGUCUGAUUCAACUUUAGCUGUGCACUAUUGCUUGUGUCAGAAUGUAAGUAUGUCAUAAGUGAUAUGUAUGCUACUUUGGUGCAUUUCUGACUGGUGAUUGCUGUGAGCAGUGAUUGUGCUAGAAGUAACAUUUUCGCAGAGGGCUGGCUUGCCAGUAUCCUGCUUGAGUGAGAAACUGGGUCAUGAUUACUGACAGAAACAGGUGUCCGCAUCAAGCUCAGUAUUUGUGAUGAUUGGGUGAUUGAAAGUCUGGAUUGUGCUUGCACAUUCUGGAGAAGCUUGCCUGUUUUGAUCUUUGAUCUGAGUGACAUCUAUCAUGGUGUCUGAGUCAGCCAACCACCUGACCCGUCUUGAAACACGGACCAAGGAGUCUAACAUGUGCGCGAGUUAUUGAGUGAUAAACUCGGAAGCGUAAUGAAGGUAAAGGCUAAUUCGGUUGGCUCAGGUGGGACCCUGGUUUACCAGGUUCAGCACCAUCCCAUCCUAUCUGCUUGUCAGUGGGGUGGAGACAGAGCGUACACGUUGGGACCCGAAAGAUGGUGAACUAUGCCUGAGCAAGAUGAAGCCAGAGGAAACUCUGGUGGAAGUCUGUAGCGAUUCUGACGUGCAAAUCGAUCGUCAGACUUGGUAU